rnacentral:rRNA from 1 species
UACGUAGGGUGCGAGCGUUAAUCGGAAUUACUGGGCGUAAAGCGCGUGUAGGCGGCCCUGCAAGUCGGGUGUGAAAUCCCACGGCUCAACCGUGGAAGUGCACUCGAAACUGCAGGGCUAGAGUCCUGGAGAGGAAGGUGGAAUGCUUGGUGUAGAGGUGAAAUUCGUAGAUAUCAAGCGGAACACCGGUGGCGAAGGCGGCCUUCUGGACAGUGACUGACGCUGAGACGCGAAAGCGUGGGGAGCAAACAGG